rfam:Myotis brandtii contig149777, whole genome shotgun sequence.
GGCCUCCCUCUUUGGGGCAAUCAAUCGUGGAGUUCCCCCCACUGAUCGCCCCACAGAGGGUGGCC